GGUGAACGCUAGCGGCAGGCUUAAUACAUGCAAGUCGUGGGGCAGCAGGUCUGUAGCAAUACAGAUGCUGGCGACCGGCAAACGGGUGCGGAACACGUACACAACUUUCCUUUAAGUGGGGAAUAGCCCAGAGAAAUUUGGAUUAAUACCCCGUAACAUAGUGAAAAGGCAUCUUUUUAUUAUUAUAGCAGCAAUGCGCUUAAUGAUGGGUGUGCGUCUGAUUAGGUAGUUGGCGGAGUAAUAGCCCACCAAGCCUACGAUCAGUAACUGGUGUGAGAGCACGACCAGUCACACGGGCACUGAGACACGGGCCCGACUCCUACGGGAGGCAGCAGUAAGGAAUAUUGGGCAAUGGACGCAAGUCUGACCCAGCCAUGCCGCGUGGAGGAUGAAGGUCCUCUGGAUUGUAAACUUCUUUUAUCUGGGAAGAAAUCCAUCUUUUCUUGGGUGGUUGACGGUACCAGAUGAAUAAGCACCGGCUAACUCCGUGCCAGCCGCCGCCGUAAGAC
rnacentral:rRNA from 1 species